AAGAGUGGGAGAGGGAGUGAGAGAGAGAAAAACAAAACAUAAGACGUUAAAAACCUCAUCUGUCUAAAAUAUACACAUCGUCCCAAAAGUGCCACAUUGAGUUGUCAACUUCUUUGAGAGAGAGAACAAAUAAAUAAAAACACAAUACUGAAAAGUUGACUGUUAAAACCAUGGACACUCAAAAUUGCUCCCUCAGGGAACUGAACCUCCCGA
rnacentral:lncRNA from 1 species